GGACUACACGGGUAUCUAAUCCUGUUUGAUCCCCGCACUUUCGAGCCUCAGCGUCAGUUACAUUUUUGUGAGCUGCCUUCGCAAUCGGUGUUCUAUGACAUAUCUAAGUAUUUCACCACUACAUGUCAUAUUCCGCCCACAGCAAAUGUACUCUAGACUGGCAGUAUCAAUGGCAGUUUCCGGGUUAAGCCCGGAGAUUUCACCACUGACUUACAAGCCCGCCUACGCUCCCUUUAAACCCAAUGAAUCCGGAUAACGCUUGCAUCCUUCGUCUUACCGCGGCGGCUGGCAC
rnacentral:rRNA from 1 species